AAUCGGCGUACGGUGUCGGGUACGUGUUACCCAUGAUUGAGCCGAGGGGGAUGAGCCUCAGUAACAGCAGCUCCGGCUGGAAAACUGGAACAUACAUCGUCGGGUAGAGUUUGGUAGGUCAGCAAUGAUUCGAAGAAGUCGGGCCCG
rnacentral:sRNA from 12 species